UGGGGAAUAUUGGACAAUGGGGGGAACCCUGAUCCAGCAAUGCCGCGUGUGUGAAGAAGGCCUGAGGGUUGUAAAGCACUUUCAGUGGGGAGGAGGAAUGGUAGGUUAAGAGCUGACUAUUUGGACGUUACCCACAGAAGAAGCACCGGCUAACUCCGUGCCAGCAGCCGCGGUAAUACGGAGGGUGCGAGCGUUAAUCGGAAUUACUGGGCGUAAAGGGUGCGUAGGUGGUUGUUUAAGUUAUCUGUGAAAUCCCUGGGCUUAACCUGGGCCUGUCAGAUAAGACUGGAUGACUCGAGUAUAGGAGAGGGUAGUGGAAUUUCCGGUGUAGCGGUGAAAUGCGUAGAGAUCGGAAGGAACAUCGGUGGCGAAGGCGGCUACCUGGCCUGAUACUGACACUGAGGCACGAAAGCGUGGGGAGCAAACAGGAUUAGAUACCCCCGUAGUCC
rnacentral:rRNA from 1 species